GUAGGUGGCAAGCGUUGUCCGGAAUUAUUGGGCGUAAAGCGCGCGCAGGCGGUUCUUUAAGUCUGAUGUGAAAGCCCACGGCUCAACCGUGGAGGGUCAUUGGAAACUGGAGAACUUGAGUACAGAAGAGGAAAGCGGAAUUCCACGUGUAGCGGUGUAAUGCGUAGAGAUGUGGAGGAACACCAGUGGCGAAGGCGGCUUUCUGGUCUGUAACUGACGCUGAGGCGCGAAAGCGUGGGGAGCAGACAGGAUUAGAUACCCUGGUAGUCCACGCCGUAAACGAUGAGUGCUAAGUGUUAGGGGGUUUCCGCCCCCCUUAGUGCUGCAGCUAACGCAUUAAGCACUCCGCCUGGGAGUACGGCCGCAAGGCUG
rnacentral:rRNA from 1 species